rnacentral:rRNA from 1 species
ACGGGGUGCAGCAGGCGCGAAAACUUUACAAUGCGAGCAAUCGUGAUAAGGAAACCCUGAGUGCCUGUCAAUGCAGGCUGUUCUGGUGUCUAACACCCACCAGGAGAAAGGGCGGGGCAAGACCGGUGCCAGCCGCCGCGGUAAUACCGGCUGCUCGAGUGGUAGCCAUUUUUAUUGGGCCUAAAGCGUUCGUAGCCGGUUUGAUAAGUCUCUGGUGAAAUCCUAUAGCUUAACUGUGGGACUUGCUGGAGAUACUAUUAGACUUGAGGUCGGGAGAGGUUAGCGGUACUCCCAGGGUAGGGGUGAAAUCCUGUAAUCCUGGGAGGACCACCUGUGGCGAAGGCGGCUAACUGGAACGAACCUGACGGUGAGGGACGAAAGCCAGGGGCGCGAACCGGAUUAGAUACCCGGGUAGUCCUGGCCGUAAACGAUGUGGACUUGGUGUUGGAAUGGCUUCGAGCUGCUCCAGUGCCGAAGGGAAGCUGUUAAGUCCACCGCCUGGGAAGUACGGUCGCAAGACUGAAACUUAAAGGAAUUGGCGGGGGAGCA